AUACACUGACGUCAUGCUCGAAAGCGUGGGUAGCAAACAGGAUUAGAUACCUGGUAGUCACGCCCUAAACGAUGUCAUUAGCUGUUGGGCAACUUGAUUGCUUAGUAGCGUAGCUAACGCGUGAAAUUGACCGCGUGGGGAGUACGGUCGCAAGAUUAAAACUCAAAGGAAUUGACGGGGACCCGCACAAGCGGUGGAUGAUGUGGAUUAAUUCGAUGCAACGCGAAGAACCUUACCUGGUCUUGACAUGUACGGAAUCCUCCAGAGACGGAGGAGUGCUUUCGGGAGCCGUAACACAGGUGCUGCAUGGCUGUCGUCAGCUCGUGUCGUGAGAUGUUGGGUUAAGUCCCGCAACGAGCGCAACCCUUGUCAUUAGUUGCCAUCAUUAAGUUGGGCACUCUAAUGAGACUGCCGGUGACAAGCCGGAGGAAGGUGGGGAUGACGUCAAGUCCUCAUGGCCCUUAUGACCAGGGCUUCACACGUCAUACAAUGGUCGGUACAGAGGGUAGCCAAGCCGCGAGGUGGAGCCAAUCUCACAAAACCGAUCGUAGUCCGGAUUGCACUCUGCAACUCGAGUGCAUGAAGUCGGAAUCGCUAGUAAUCGCAGGUCAGCAUACUGCGGUGAAUACGUUCCCGGGUCUUGUACACACCGCCCGUCACACCAUGGGAGUGGGGGAUACCAGAAGUAGGUAGGGUAACCGCAAGGAGCCCGCUUACCACGGUAUGCUUCAUGACUGGGGUGAAGUCGUAACAAGGUAACCAAGGGCGAAUUCUG
rnacentral:rRNA from 1 species